rnacentral:lncRNA from 1 species
CAAGAAUAAAGAAAACCAGAGAGAAAACAAAUAGGCCCUGCCAGAGCCAAAUGGGCUUCAUACGGAGUCAAUUUGUAUUUUGCUGUUGCACACAUUGCAGUGAUUUUUUUUGCCAUCAUUUAAUUCCUCUCUCUCCCAGCCAGCACGGGCUUGCAGGGAUGCAGCUGACUGUGGAGUGAGACCCGUGGUCCAUAAACACUUCAGCUAAGAUUAAAGGUACUCCGUAAAGGCUGAGUGUGUUUUUGUUAGGUGUUUCCAGAUGAGAGAGAACUGGAUUAUCCCUCAACCCCGUCAAGAAAAACGCCGUGUUGCAGAACCAGGAAAAGAAGAUAAAGACCUUCAUGUAGAAUCUCCAGAGGAGUUACCAGGGACAAUCACUUCUACUGCUGUGUGUAGUGAUGGCCAGACCAACGUUUCAGCUCCACGAACCUGAUGGAUGCUGCAGGAUGUCGACAAUUUAGGCAAGAUCUAGAAAUCGGUGCUCAGAGACUAAAAUUCCUGUGUAUGUAGAAACUCCUGUGCAGAACCUGUGUUUCUCGUCUCUUCAAGAGCGAAAACAUCAACCACAAAGUCCAUAAAACGUCGAGUCCUGGUGGGAGCGCUUGCAAACAUGCUGGAGAACUGGUCUGGGACCUCAAAUUUAGAUUUUACCCUGGAAAAUCACCUUCAACCCGGCAACAUCGAUCGUUUCCCACCUCCCGAGCUCCAACAAGCAGCUGAUGUCCAAACCUGGAGCAGUUUCACCUGUCGUCGGGGCCUGUUUGGAGCUGGUGCAUUCAGGAGCCGCAGGUUGCUU